AGUCGAACGGAAAGGCCGAAGCUUGCUUCGGUACUCGAGUGGCGAACGGGUGAGUAACACGUGGGUGAUCUGCCCUGUACUUCGGGAUAAGCUUGGGAAACUGGGUCUAAUACCGGAUAUGACGAUCUCUUGGAUGGGGUUGUGGAAAGCUUUUGCGGUAUGGGAUGAGCUCGCGGCCUAUCAGCUUGUUGGUGGGGUAAUGGCCUACCAAGGCGUCGACGGGUAGCCGGCCUGAGAGGGUGUACGGCCACAUUGGGACUGAGAUACGGCCCAGACUCCUACGGGAGGCAGCAGUGGGGAAUAUUGCACAAUGGGCGCAAGCCUGAUGCAGCGACGCCGCGUGGGGGAUGACGGCCUUCGGGUUGUAAACUCCUUUCGCAAUCGACGAAGCCUUUUGGUGACGGUAGGUUGAGAAGAAGCACCGGCUAACUACGUGCCAGCAGCCGCGGUAAU
rnacentral:rRNA from 1 species